GACAGAGGUGCCAAGCGUUUAGGCGGAAUCACUGGGCUUAAAGCGUGUGUAGGCGGAUCGUUAAGUACCUUGUGAAAUCCCACGGCUCAACCGUGGAACUGCUGGGUAUACUGGCGAUCUUGAGCCACCUAGGGGCGAGCGGAACAAACGGUGGAGCGGUGAAAUGCGUAGAUAUCGUUUGGAACGCCAACGGUGAAAACAGCUCGCUGGGGGUGUGCUGACGCUGGAGACACGAAAGCCAGGGGAGCGAACGGG
rnacentral:rRNA from 1 species